UACGUAGGGUGCAGGCGUUAAUCGGAAUUACUGGGCGUAAAGCGUGCGCAGGCGGUUUCUUAAGUCAGAUGUGAAAGCCCCGGGCUUAACCUAGGAACUGCGUUUGAAACUGGGAGACUUGAGUGUGGCAGAGGGGGGUGGAAUUCCACGUGUAGCAGUGAAAUGCGUAGAUAUGUGGAGGAACACCGAUGGCGAAGGCAGCCCCCUGGGUUAACACUGACGCUCAUGCACGAAAGCGUGGGGAGCAAACAGG
rnacentral:rRNA from 1 species